ACGGCCAUACCAUGCUGAAUAUACCGGUUCUCGUUAGAUCACCGAAGUCAAUACUUGGGUGGGUGACCACCUGAGAACACCGCGUGCCGUUG